AUACGUAGGGGGCAAGCGUUAUCCGGAUUUACUGGGUGUAAAGGGAGCGUAGACGGUUCUGCAAGUCUGGAGUGAAAGCCCGGGGCUCAACCCCCAGGACUGCUUUAGGAAACUGUGGAACUGGAGUGCAGGAGAGGUAAGUGGAAUUCCUAGUGUAGCGGUGAAAUGCGUAGAUAUUAGGAGGAACACCAGUGGCGAAGGCGACUUACUGGACUGUAACUGACGUUGAGGCUCGAAAGCGGUGGGGAGAC
rnacentral:rRNA from 1 species